rnacentral:rRNA from 1 species
UUGCUUCUCUGAUUAAUCGGCGGACGGGUGAGUAACACGUGGGCAACCUGCCCUACAGAUCGGGAUAACUCAGGGAAACCUGGGCUAAUACCGGAUAAUCCUUCGAAUCACAUGUUUUGAAGUUGAAAGGCGCUUCGGCGUCACUGUAGGAUGGGCCCGCGGUGCAUUAGCUAGUUGGUGGGGUAACGGCCUACCAAGGCAACGAUGCAUAGCCGACCUGAGAGGGUGAUCGGCCACAUUGGGACUGAGACACGGCCCAAACUCCUACGGGAGGCAGCAGUAGGGAAUCUUCCACAAUGGACGAAAGUCUGAUGGAGCAACGCCGCGUGAGUGAUGAAUGUUUUCGGAUCGUAAAACUCUGUUGUAAGG